rnacentral:lncRNA from 1 species
AGCUUAGUACAGAGAGGACCUCAGUGCAAGCUGUGGUUUGUUACAUGGGUGGGAUUUUCAUUUUGUUCUGAUGUUAGAGAAGUAUCCUUUCCUUUUUCAUCUCUCGUUUCUUUUUAAAUGCAUUUCCAUUGUAUAUUCUUAAAAUACACAGGCACUGUUCACAAAACAAUAGUAUUCCUUUUUUUUUUUUUUGGUUGAGUCACCCGAACCUUAAUAAUAGUAAAUAACUAAAACAAUACAUCUCAUGCAGGCUUCUCAUCUAAUUCUAUCUUUAGUAUAAAACAGGAAAUGAUACACAUGUUUUUUUUACAAAAAGGCCAGGUAGCACAUAUGUAGGCUUUAAUAGGCCAUAUAGCCUCUGUGGCAAUUGUUCCAUCCUAUGAUAACAUAAAAGCAGCUACAGAUGAUGUGUAAAUAAAUGUCUGUAUCCUAAUAAAGCUUAUUUCAAAAAGGGAGCAAAACUGGAUGUGGUCUACAGACCAUAAUUUUAUCAACUACUGCCAUAAAAACCUUAGGUGUUCUGUGUUCUAUUGAACUAAUCAUGAAACCUCAUUAGACAAGCCACAUAACAUAUUUUGUUUCAUUAUGCAUCAAUCACAUUGCCUUUGUUUAAUAGUCAAAUAUUACCCUUGGAAGGUCAUAUAAUUUCUCAAGCUAACCCCAGCAGAGCCUUGGAUGAAGAGCAAAAUAAGGUAGGAAAUAAACUCCAAACUAAUGAUUUCCUAAUAGCUCAGCAAGGCACUCACACGAGAGUACUUAAGACAUGAUCCCCAGAGGCAAUUAAUCACUACUGGAUCUAGUAUCUUGCUACUGAUGUCUUUCUUUUGGUUUAUUUAUGCCAUAGACUGUGGUUGUUUGGCCUAUGCAUGAAUAUAUAAAUAUUUAUGUAUGUAAAGCUUUUCCAAAUAGCUCUCUGAAGAGUUGAAUUUUUAACUUCUUAUUGUUUUUGCAUUGCUUUCUGAGCUGAAUUUGAGUAACAGAUUAACUAUAACAUAAAGCUAUAGAUUCUUACAUGCUUUGAUAAUAGCCCAGAUAUCUAUGUUGUUUUUACAUUGGUGUCAGACAGGCAAAGGACAUUUAACACAAGAGCUAAAACAAAAACUGGAUCUGGCUGAAUAGAACAGAAAACAAUCCUAGUCCACCUGUAUGUGUCGCAGGCUUGGCAACAGAUCAUGAGUGACCACAGUUCCCACCGCAUUCUCAUACAGGCCAAUUCCCUAUUGUUUUAGUAGGGCUGCCUUUGGAAAUGGAGGCUUGGGAAUUGCUCUCGAGCUGACCCAUCACCUAAGAGUGCCAUGUAUGGUUGGAGUAUUGGACUCCCUGGAACAUAGUGAAAAACAUGAAUGAAUAGCAUCAAUGCCCAGUGUUCAAGUGCUGUUUAUCUAAUACUCCCCCAGAAGAAGAACCAACGGGGACCUCAGUUUGUAAUACAGCUGAAGACGAGAUGUAUUUCUAUAUGUAGGUUGAAGAAAUCAGUCUUAUGGCUUUCCACUCAUGUCUUAGCUCUUCUAAAAUGCCAGACUUCCCUCCUGUUUUUCCAGCUCCAGACCACACACUGAAAAACCUGUAUUAUGAAUUAUAUACUAUGAAGUCACAAAUGUGCCAUAAAGAUACAUUGUACGUGGAAUCACUAAAAUGUAGUCCACUAGAAUUUAGUUGAGAUUUUUGUUUUCCCCCAGGUGUACCAAGCCAUGCUCAGUGUGGUAUUAACUCAAAUGAAUUCAUUCAGAUGUAUUGGUGGUACUUUUGUAAAUGUAUGGCUUCUAGGUUAGCAAAAAGAAAACUCAAAGCUGACUAACUGUGAAUACUUAGGUCUGUAGAUUCAUUGCAUUCUAGAUGUUGUGAGCUGAGCGAUGAAGCACUUGAACAAAGACGAAGGUGUUUAAGAAUCUCUCUACGUAUCUUAGCUGU